GUGCUUGCUUUGGCAGCACAUACAACUGGAACAAUACAGAGAAGAUUACCAUGGCCCCUGUGCAAGGAUGACAUGCAAAUUUGUGAAGCCUUCCAUACUUAU